CACCGCGGUUAUACGAGAGGUCCAAGCUGACAGCCAACGGCGUAAAGAGUGGUUAAGUUAACCCAAUACAACUAAAGUCGAACGCCCCCAAGACCGUUAUACGUGCUCGGAGGUAUGAAGCCCAACAACGAAAGUGGCUUUAAAAUUCCUGACCCCACGAAAGCUGUGAAA
rnacentral:rRNA from 1 species